UACGAAGGGGGCUAGCGUUGCUCGGAAUCACUGGGCGUAAAGGGUGCGUAGGCGGGUCUUUAAGUCAGGGGUGAAAUCCUGGAGCUCAACUCCAGAACUGCCUUUGAUACUGAAGAUCUUGAGUCCGGGAGAGGUGAGUGGAACUGCGAGUGUAGAGGUGAAAUUCGUAGAUAUUCGCAAGAACACCAGUGGCGAAGGCGGCUCACUGGCCCGGUACUGACGCUGAGACGCGAAAGCGUGGGGAGCAAACAGG
rnacentral:rRNA from 1 species